UAUGCACGUAGAGGUGCGCUAUUUAUCAGUAAUCAGUAGUAGGGUGAUACCUUUGAUCACUUAUGAAAGGAAAUAGCGCCGAAGCAAAACGUAUUUAUCACGUCGUUUUGUUGGGGUUGUUAAUGAAUAGUUACAACACUGCCAUAGUAUUUUGUUAUUCACUAUGGAGCGCUACUGUAGGA
rnacentral:ncRNA from 2 species